rnacentral:rRNA from 1 species
GGAAAAGAAACCAACAGGGAUUGCCCUAGUAACGGCGAGUGAAGCGGCAACAGCUCAAAUUUGAAAUCUGGCUCCUUUGGGGUCCGAGUUGUAAUUUGUAGAGGGUGCUUUGGCGUCGGUUGUGGUCUAAGUUCCUUGGAACAGGACGUCACAGAGGGUGAGAAUCCCGUACGUGGCCGCCAGCCUUCGCCGUGUAAAGCCCCUUCGAUGAGUCGAGUUGUUUGGGAAUGCAGCUCUAAAUGGGAGGUAAAUUUCUUCUAAAGCUAAAUAUUUGCCAGAGACCGAUAGCGCACAAGUAGAGUGAUCGAAAGAUGAAAAGCACUUUGGAAAGAGAGUCAAAAAGCACGUGAAAUUGUUGAAAGGGAAGCGCUUGCAGCUAGACGUGCCUUGGGUUGAUCAGCCGGACUUUUGCCCGGUGCACUCUUCCUUUGGCAGGCCAGCAUCAGUUUGGGCGGCUGGAUAAAGGUCUGUUAAACGUGACUUCCUUCGGGGAGAGCUUAUAGGGCAGACGACAUGCAGCCAGCCUGAACUGAGGUCCGCGCAUCUGCUAGGAUGCUGGCAUAAUAGCUGUAAGCGGCCCGUCUUGAAACACGGACCAAGGAGUCUAACAUCUAUGCGAGUGUUUGGGUGUCAAGCCCGAGCGCGUAAUGAAAGUAAACGGAGGUGGGAACCUUUUAGGUGCACCAUCGACCGAUCUUGAUGUCUUCGGAUGGAUUUGAGUAAGAGCAUAGCUGUUGGGACCCGAAAGAUGGUGAACUAUGCCUGAAUAGGGUGAAGCCAGAGGAAACUCUGGUGGAGGCUCGCAGCGGUUCUGACGUGCAAAUCGAUCGUCAAAUUUGGGCAUAGGGGCGAAAGACUAAUCGAACUA